rnacentral:rRNA from 1 species
UGGGGAAUCUUGGACAAUGGGGGCAACCCUGAUCCAGCCAUGCCGCGUGAGUGAUGAAGGCCUUAGGGUCGUAAAGCUCUUUCGCCUGUGAAGAUAAUGACGGUAGCAGGUAAAGAAACCCCGGCUAACUCCGUGCCAGCAGCCGCGGUAAUACGGAGGGGGUUAGCGUUGUUCGGAAUUACUGGGCGUAAAGCGCACGUAGGCGGACCAGAAAGUUGGGGGUGAAAUCCCGGGGGCUCAACCCCGGAACUGCCUCCAAAACUAUUGGUCUAGAGUUCGAGAGAGGUGAGUGGAAUUCCAAGUGUAGAGGUGAAAUUCGUAGAUAUUUGGAGGAACACCAGUGGCGAAGGCGGCUCACUGGCUCGAUACUGACGCUGAGGUGCGAAAGUGUGGGGAGCAAAACAGGAUUAGAUACCCUGGUAGUCCACACCGUAAAACGAUGAAUGCCAGUCGUCGGGGUAGCAUGCUAUUCGGUGACACACCUAACGGAUUAAGCAUUCCGCCUGGGGAGUACGGUCGCAAGAUU